rnacentral:misc_RNA from 1 species
AGCGGGUCUUUUGGGGUUAUAUAUCUUGCUACCCACAUCGAAACUUUUGAGAUUGUUGCUGUUAAAAUUGAAAAUAGGCAGACAAGACACCCUCAGUUGCUUUAUGAGGCAAAGCUGUACACUAUACUUCAGGGAGGAAGUGGUAUUCCUAAUAUAAAAUGGCGUGGGGUUGAUGGGAAUGACAGUGUCCUCAUUAUUGAUUUGCUUGGUCCCAGUCUUGAAGACCUCGUUGUACACUGUGGGAGGAAAUUCUCGCUGAAAACUGUUCUAAUGUUGGCUGAUCAGACGAUUACGAGAAUAGAGUAUUUGCAUUCAAAAGGAUUUCUACAUAGAGACAUAAAACCUGAUAACUUCCUCAUGGGUCUUGGCAGGAAGGCAAACCAGGUCUAUGUUAUUGAUUUUGGACUUGCAAAAAGAUAUCGUGACCCCACCACAAGCCGUCAUAUUCCUUACAGAGAGAACAAGAACUUGACAGGGACAGCAAGGUAUGCCAGUUGCAAUACACAUUUGGGAAUAGAGCAAAGUCGGAGGGAUGAUCUGGAAUCUCUUGGCUACGUUCUUUUAUAUUUCUUGAGAGGCAGCCUUCCAUGGCAGGGUUUAAAAGCUGAUACAAAGAAGCAAAAAUAUGACAAGAUCCGUGAGAAAAAAGUAUCAACAACAAUUGAGGUUUUAUGCAAAUCUCUUCCAGUGGAGUUUGCUUCAUACUUGCAUUAUUGUCACUCUUUAACAUUUGACCAGCGCCCUGAUUACGGAUUCCUGAAACGCUUGUUUCGUGACUUAUUUACACGUGAAGGGUAUAAAAUGGAUUAUGUGUUUGAUUGGACUAUCUUGAAGUAUCCCCAGAUCGGCUCCAGUUCAAGAGCACGACAACCUAUUGCAAGAUUACCUGUGAAUCCGGGACCAUCCAUUGAAAGACCAGAAAAGAUCCCUGUGAGGCAGGAAAUCAAAGAUAGGUUUUCUGGUGCUGUGGAGGCGUUUUCUAGAAGGAACGUGUCUGGAACUGGUUUGCAAGGGGACCAUUUGAGACAUCACAGAUCAUCUGACGAUGUACCAUCAUCUAAGGAUGUGCAAGCUGAUGCUGAAAGAGGCCGUGUAUCUCGGACUGGUAGCACCUCGAGGAGGGCUGUAAUGGGAAGCAGCCGGCCCAGCUCAUCUGGCGAACCCACUGACAAUCGCUCUGGUCGCUUAGGUUCAAGCAGCGGCCGCAUUUCCACUACCCAAAGAGUACAACCUGGAUUUGAAUCCAAGUCUUCAUCUUUUACCCGCGCUACUGCAACUAGAGGGGG